UGCUCGGAGUUAGCGGCGGACGGGUGAGUAACACGUAGGUAACCUGCCCCUUAGACUGGGAUAACUCCGGGAAACCGGAGCUAAUACGGGAUAAUAAAGAGAAUCGCCUGAUUUUCUUUUGAAAGACGGCGUCUAGCUGUCACUAAGGGAUGGACCUGCGGCGCAUUAGCUAGUUGGUAAGGUAACGGCUUACCAAGGCGACGAUGCGUAGCCGACCUGAGAGGGUGAUCGGCCACACUGGGACUGAGACACGGCCCAGACUCCUACGGGAGGCAGCAGUAGGGAAUCUUCCGCAAUGGACGAAAGUCUGACGGAGCAACGCCGCGUGAGUGAGGAAGGCCUUCGGGUCGUAAAGCUCUGUUGUGAGGGAAGAACAAGUGCCGGCGUAACUACCGGCACCUUGACGGUACCUCACCAGAAAGCCACGGCUAACUACGUGCCAGCAGCC
rnacentral:rRNA from 1 species